AUUGAAUGCUGGCGGCAGGCCUAACACAUGCAAGUCGAGCGGAUGAAGGGAGCUUGCUCCUGGAUUCAGCGGCGGACGGGUGAGUAAUGCCUAGGAAUCUGCCUGGUAGUGGGGGAUAACGUCCGGAAACGGGCGCUAAUACCGCAUACGUCCUGAGGGAGAAAGUGGGGGAUCUUCGGACCUCACGCUCUCAGAUGAGCCUAGGUCGGAUUAGCUAGUUGGUGGGGUAAAGGCCUACCAAGGCGACGAUCCGUAACUGGUCUGAGAGGAUGAUCAGUCACACUGGAACUGAGACACGGUCCAGACUCCUACGGGAGGCAGCAGUGGGGAAUAUUGGACAAUGGGCGAAAGCCUGAUCCAGCCAUGCCGCGUGUGUGAAGAAGGUCUUCGGAUUGUAAAGCACUUUAAGUUGGGAGGAAGGGCAGUAAGUUAAUACCUUGCUGUUUUGACGUUACCAACAGAAUAAGCACCGGCUAACUUCGUG
rnacentral:rRNA from 1 species